rnacentral:misc_RNA from 1 species
GAAAAGAAUUGGUAAUAGGAUUAUCUUCUUGGAAGUAGCAUUGGGAAAAUAGACUAUUAUCAUCAUCAGUACGAAUGCACCUCAAGUAGGCCUGGAUGAGGAAGCUAAAAGCAAAAUUUGGGAAGUUAUGGAUGCAAUGUAUCAAAGGAUUCCUCCUUAUUACAAGCUUUUUGUUAGUGGAGAUUUGUAGGUAGUAGCAACAACGAUUU